UACGUACCGUACGAACGUUAUUCGGAAUUACUGGGUUUAAAGGGUUUGUAGGCGGCCUUGUAAGUCAGGUGUGAAAUCCCUCGGCUCAACCGAGGAACGGCGCUUGAUACUGCAAGGCUUGAGGGAGACAGGGGUAAGCGGAACUGAUGGUGGAGCGGUGAAAUGCGUUGAUAUAACAGGAACACCGGUGGCGAAAGCGGCUUACUGGGACUCUUCUGACGCUGAGGAACGAAAGCUAGGGUAGCGAACGGG
rnacentral:rRNA from 1 species